GUGCUCACUUAGGCAGCACAUACACCAAAAUUGAAAUGAUACAGAGAAGCUUAGCAUGGCCCCUGUGCAAGGAUGACACAAAAAUUCGUGAAGCAUUCCAUAUUUUU